UGUUGUUGUUUCGCCACAGGUCAAUUGUAACGGAGAAGAGCUAUGAUUAAAGGCAUUCUGGACAUGACUAUUCCAACUUUUUAAUAGAUUUAAGGACAACAAGGGAGAGUCGAAAGUGAGCGCUCGGCUUGUUUGAAAUAACAGUCAGAUUUCCGCCGUAUCACAUCUACCGUCUUAUAAAUGGAAGGGCACGUUGAAGACGGAGGUGGGGGCGGGUGCUAUGUAUCUAAGGAAAAAAUAGAAUAGGCACGGUUGGAUUAUCUUAGAUCAUCAUAGGGUUGCUUGAUUCGGACUGACCUAGGGUUAAACGUCACCAAUGUCCUGUGAGUGUAUCCGUCUUCCUUUUGUGUUUCUUUUGUAUAUUGCAGGUUGUUGAUUUGAGGGAGAUUUGGCUAUUAUUGCUAAUAGGUCGAGAUCACGGAGAUGUUUCUGUAUUGUAAGUUCGUGACAAUCUGUUUGGAAUUGGCCAAAACGAAAUAACACAGUCGAAAGAAGAAAGAAAAACAAAUCAAUGAAAGAAAGAGGAAAUGAAAAAGCGGUAGAGACGGAUAAUAAAAGUCAAGACAGUUUUUAAAAUGAGCGAUGGACCGUGAAGACACGUUGUUCUUAUUCCUGUGUAAACAAUGGAUUGCAAUGCAAGUUCCCGGCACCAACUGUUGACGUUAGUCACCCUCUCAAAUAUGGAUGCCCUAAAGUGGUUGAAACAGUCACCACCCCUAAAAAUAUUACCGUUAUUUCAAACCAAUGAGGGAACCUCUACACGAUCGUUCUGCUCGCUAGAAAUAACAGCCAAAUCACUUUGCAAUCACUUACUCCCGACUUAUAAAACAAUGAAGGAUUAUUGAAUAAUAUAUAGGCCUAAGUCCUAGAAUCGCUGUCAGAAAGAAAAUAAAUGGGACGAUAAAUGCUUAAUAAGGGCUCGUCUGGCACUAAAUGUUUUCAAAUUUUGGCACAAGGCCAGUAAUUUUAAGGCGGGGGGGGGGUAGUCGAUUACCUCGACCUCAGUCUUCAAUUGGUACUUAUUUUAUCGACCCAAAAAAAGAUGAAAGGCAAAGUCGACCACGGCGGAGACACGAAUAUGAUCGCUAUUUCGCGUUCUCUUUAUACAGAGGAUUUACACAUUUUCCGUCUUUUAUCCACGAAUUAAAAGACUCUUGUACUUAUAGAGUGAAACUACCAUUGCCAUUAUAUACAAACAAGUCAUCUUCCCCACUGUUAUAAAUAUAUUCAAGUUCGGGCGUAGUAGAGAGCAGUCUACUGUAUCCAUCACGUGACUGAUUAUUAUUUGAAGCGGCAACUGCUUUGUACCGUUCCCGCCAGAACGCAAAUCAACCAAUCACAGCCCCUAAUAAGGUCACGUGAUAGUGUUUUUCUAAUGCCUCUCUGGAGCCCCUAUUUUGUUAUAAAUAGACUAAAUUAUACCGGGCAAAUUCGUCGCGGUUCAGAUCUCUUAGAGACCUGUUCCAUGUACCACACAGAGCAGCAGCAGCAGUUCCAGCGAAAACAUCAACAGCUUCGUACAACUAGGACUACCAGCAUCAACACGACUCUAUGACUACCACCAUCAACACGACUCUAUGACUACCACCAGCGUUCCCCCAACAGCGUCAACAUGACUUCUACAUACACAAGCUAACCAAACUACCGUGGCAUUUCUCUUCGAUUCUGUUUGUGUGAUUCAUCUUCACCACGAUACAUAAUAGACAAGAGCCCAGCCUGCGAAGAACAUCUGUACUCAAGAACCCGGCCUGGCAUAGAAGUCACAACAACACAACUAGUGAUCGCUCUGCCCCACACGCCUUAACUUCUUAUACAGACACUUACCACUGUGUACUCUAAGAACUGGUACCUUAAAUUCUUAUACAUGUUACUGACUCUUUUUCUAUCCGCUGUAACUCUUACAUACACAUACAUGUAUCACUCGCACACACACUUUUCUUUACUUGACGGCCUGUCUUUUAUUGUGUUUUCAUUAUGUCGCAUUCGCUCACACACAGACACACA